rnacentral:rRNA from 1 species
UAGGGAAUCUUCCACAAUGGGCGAAAGCCUGAUGGAGCAACGCCGCGUGGGUGAAGAAGGUCUUCGGAUCGUAAAACCCUGUUGUCAGAAAAGAAAGUGCAUGAGAGUAACUGUUCAUGUUUCGACGGUAUCUGACCAGAAAGCCACGGCUAACUACGUG